rnacentral:rRNA from 1 species
CAGCAGCCGCGGGAAUACAGAGGGUGCAAGCGUUAAUCGGAAUUACUGGGCGUAAAGCGCGCGUAGGUGGUUUGUUAAGUUGGAUGUGAAAUCCCCGGGCUCAACCUGGGAACUGCAUCCAAAACUGGCAAGCUAGAGUAUGGUAGAGGGUGGUGGAAUUUCCUGUGUAGCGGUGAAAUGCGUAGAUAUAGGAAGGAACACCAGUGGCGAAGGCGACCACCUGGACUGAUACUGACACUGAGGUGCGAAAGCGUGGGGAGCAAACAGGAUUAGAUACCCGAGUAGUCCCUGUCUCUUAUAA